CAGCCGCCACGGGAAUACGGAGGGUGCAAGCGUUAAUCGGAAUUACUGGGCGUAAAGCGUGCGUAGGCGGUUCGUUAAGUCUGUUGUGAAAGCCCCGGGCUCAACCUGGGAAUGGCAAUGGAUACUGGCGAGCUAGAGUGUGUCAGAGGAUGGUGGAAUUCCCGGUGUAGCGGUGAAAUGCGUAGAGAUCGGGAGGAACAUCAGUGGCGAAGGCGGCCAUCUGGGACAACACUGACGCUGAGGCACGAAAGCGUGGGGAGCAAACAGGAUUAGAUACCCCAGUAGUCCCUGUCUCUUAUAA
rnacentral:rRNA from 1 species